rnacentral:rRNA from 1 species
AACAGGAUUAGAUACCCUGGUAGUCCACGCCGUAAACGAUGUCGAUUUGGAGGUUGUGCCCUUGAGGCGUGGCUUCCGGAGCUAACGCGUUAAAUCGACCGCCUGGGGAGUACGGCCGCAAGGUUAAAACUCAAAUGAAUUGACGGGGGCCCGCACAAGCGGUGGAGCAUGUGGUUUAAUUCGAUGCAACGCGAAGAACCUUACCUGGUCUUGACAUCCACAGAACUUAGCAGAGAUGCUUUGGUGCCUUCGGGAACUGUGAGACAGGUGCUGCAUGGCUGUCGUCAGCUCGUGUUGUGAAAUGUUGGGUUAAGUCCCGCAACGAGCGCAACCUUAUCC